GGGGGUGAAACAGGAUCGACAGGAGCCGUUUGGAUAGCGGUCGCAGGCCCUGGUUGGUCAGAGCCAGGCUAAAAUCCGACCAAAAAACAAAAGCCAACAUCGAAACCUCGAUGCUGAGCUGGUCUGUCGCCUAAACAGCGAAUAGGCCACGCUGGCCGUGACACCUGCUAAACGGGUCCCAGCGUCAUGAGCAGGCUGGGGCGUUUCCCGCGCGCUUCGUCAGGGAACGUUCGAGACUAAACGGAGCUGGUCCCGGGAGCACCGGUCCGGAGGUUUUCCCGGGAUGACGAUGAAUCCGGACUAAGCCUGUAGC
rnacentral:tmRNA from 1 species